AGGCUUUGGGGAGCUCUCUAAACAGAGCCAUACCAUUAAAUAUAACUAUUGUAUGCAGAUCUUUUUGACUGAACUGGUUCUCUUUCUACAGAUUGAUGGUGUGUAGUCGUGUUGCAGUCAGACUUAAAGGUCACUUCCUGAUGGGGAAGUGAAUAAUAUGAAAUAUUUCAUCUGCUUUACAAUAGACUUGCCUUUGCUUCACAGACUUGGCCUCCCUUUCGAUUUGCGUGCUCAGUAUGGCGUUGGUAUAAUACUUUCUUAUAAAGUGCGGUGAGACAGGAAGUGUCCGGUACCAUGUAGGAGCACCCACAGUCCCUAACCUGCUCGUUUUAAACAUCAGCCUGCUCUCCCGCUGAAACAACUCUGUGGUUCUUUGAAGUAAAAUCUAAUUACUGCUGCCACACUCCUCGAGAACAUUGCACGUGUGUGUCUACUCUUACGCCCCUGAGCUAAUGUGUGCGCCGGAGUGUGUGUGCGAGUGUACACCUAUCAAAACUCCCUCUGGUGAACAUGACAGAAGAGAUGUGGAGAGAGAACAAGCUGCUCAGCUCAGCUUUCAUCUUCUUUCC